CGAGCGCAUGAGUUGUUUUGGACCUGUGACUACCGUGAGGACCCCCGCUGUUGUGCGGCCGACUCUCGGUGCCAGUGUCCCUUCAAUCGUUGGCUGUUCGGUGCCUAUCAUUUUGACGAGUGCUUGCGUGCUGCUACCAGUAACACUGGAAGUUGCAUUGCCAAAUGUUGCUUUUGUCGUGAAUGCUGUUACGGCAUGCCACGUCAACUAUAAAGCGUUCAUGGCGUUGCCUCGUGUAGCUGGCUGCAUAGGCUAGCAGCAUCAAGGCCACCUCAUGGACGCUAUUGGUCUCGGAUGCGGCUAACUCUAAAGGCUGAAGGUGCAUUGGCGCCUCAUGCCUAGAAAUAUUGUCCGACUGAAACAACGACAGCUAGCCUGGCUGAUGCCUCGUGCGGAAGCUAGUGCU
rnacentral:misc_RNA from 1 species